rnacentral:rRNA from 1 species
GACGAACGCUGGCGGCGUGCUUAACACAUGCAAGUCGAACGGAAAGGCCCUGCUUUUGUGGGGUGCUCGAGUGGCGAACGGGUGAGUAACACGUGAGUAACCUGCCCUUGACUUUGGGAUAACUUCAGGAAACUGGGGCUAAUACCGGAUAGGAGCUCCUGCUGCAUGGUGGGGGUUGGAAAGUUUCGGCGGUUGGGGAUGGACUCGCGGCUUAUCAGCUUGUUGGUGGGGUAGUGGCUUACCAAGGCUUUGACGGGUAGCCGGCCUGAGAGGGUGACCGGCCACAUUGGGACUGAGAUACGGCCCAGACUCCUACGGGAGGCAGCAGUGGGGAAUAUUGCACAAUGGGCGGAAGCCUGAUGCAGCAACGCCGCGUGCGGGAUGACGGCCUUCGGGUUGUAACCCGCUUUCGCCUGUGACGAAGCGUGAGUGACGGUAAUGUGUAAAGAAGCACCGGCUAACUACGUG